CUACAAAGGAAUUGACGGGACCCGCACAAGCGGUGGAUGAUGUGGUUUAAUUCGAUGCAACGCGAAAACUUACCCACCUUUGACAUGUACGGAACCUUUAGAGAUAGAGGGUGCUCGAAAGAGAGCCGUAACACAGGUGCUGCAUGGCUGUCGUCAGCUCGUGUCGUGAGAUGUUGGGUUAAGUCCCGCAACGAGCGCAACCCUUGUCAUUAGUUGCUACAUUCAGUUGGGCACUCUAAUGAGACUGCCGGUGACAAGCCGGAGGAAGGUGGGGAUGACGUCAAGUCCUCAUGGCCCUUAUAGGUGGGGCUACACACGUCAUACAAUGGCUGGUACAAAGGGUUGCCAACCCGCGAGGGGGAGCCAAUCCCAUAAAGCCAGUCGUAGUCCGGAUCGUAGUCUGCAACUCGACUACGUGAAGUCGGAAUCGCUAGUAAUCGUGGAUCAGCAUGCCACGGUCGAAUACGUUCCCGGGCCUU
rnacentral:rRNA from 1 species